ACCGACGAGGGCGACUACCAGAUCAAGCUGCGCAAGAUGCGGGAGUUCCUGGCCGACGGCGACAAGGUCAAAGUCAACAUCCGUUUCCGCGGGCGCGAGAUGAGCCACCAGGAGCUGGGGCGCGACAUGGCGGCGCGGAUCGAGGCCGACCUGGGUGAGGACGUCAUCAUCGAGUCCCGCCCACGCCUGGAAGGCCGACAGAUGGUGAUGAUGAUCGCACCCAAGAAGAAAUAACCCUGUCGGCGCCAGAAGGCGUCGGCUGGCAACGCCAGGCUGGGGCCGUUCACGCCUUGCCCUGUGGGUGCCGUGGGAGUGAAUGCAUACAGGGGUUGA
rnacentral:misc_RNA from 1 species